AACGAACGCUGGCGGCGCGUCUUAACAUGCAAGUCGAACGAUCUGUAGCAAUACAGGGAGUGGCGGACGGGUGAGGAACACGUAGGAAUCUACCUUGAAGAGCGGGACAACUUUGGGAAACCGGGGCUAAUACCGCAUAGUACAGAGAUGUUAAAGGGCUAGCAAUAGUCGCUUCGAGAUGAGCCUGCGGUCUAUCAGCUUGUUGGUGAGGUAAUGGCUCACCAAGGCUACGACGGAUAGCCGGUCUGAGAGGAUGAUCGGCCACACUGGCACUGAGACACGGGCCAGACUCCUACGGGAGGCAGCAGUCAAGAAUCUUGCGCAAUGGGGGAAACCCUGACGCAGCGACGCCGCGUGAAGGAUGAAGGCUUUCGGGUUGUAAACUUCGGUAGACUGGGAAGAAGAAAUACGUUCGUUGAGGGCGUAUAGUGACGGUACCAGUCUGAAGCCCCGGCUAAUUACGUGCCAGCAGCCGCGGUAAU
rnacentral:rRNA from 1 species